UACAGAGGGGGCAAGCGUUGCUCGGAAUCACUGGGCGUAAAGCGCACGUAGGCGGCUCUUUAAGUCAGGGGUGAAAUCCUGGAGCUCAACUCCAGAACUGCCUUUGAUACUGGGGAUCUCGAGUCCGGGAGAGGUGAGUGGAACUGCGAGUGUAGAGGUGAAAUUCGUAGAUAUUCGCAAGAACACCAGUGGCGAAGGCGGCUCACUGGCCCGGUACUGACGCUGAGGUGCGAAAGCGUGGGGAGCAAACAGG
rnacentral:rRNA from 1 species